rnacentral:rRNA from 1 species
CCCUAUUAUUUAGGAAUGUUAAUUGUUUUUGUGCUUGAGUAGUAUUAGUUAUGUUCUUGAAACUUAAAGAAUUUGGCGGUAUCUCAUUCCUUCCAGAGGAAUCUGUCUCGUAAUCGAUAGUCCACGUUGGACCUUACUUAGAAUUUGUUAUUGGUUUGUAUACCGCCGUUUAUUGAUUAUCUUUUUAGAGUUUUUAAUUUUCUAGUUUCUUUAUUUUGGUUAAUUUCAGGUCAAGGUGCAGCUUAUUUUUAGGUGAAUGAUGGAUUACAUUGUUAUUUGUUUUUGGAUUAUUAUUUUUAAUAUUAGUAUGAAAUUGGAUUUGGUUGUAAUUGUUUGUAGAUUGUUAUUGUGAUAAGUGGUUCUGGGAUAUGCACACAUCGCCCGUCGCUCUCGUUUAUUGUUAAUGAGAUAAGUC